UUGCACUAGCACGUAUCUUUCUUCGCAACGUUGAUUGAAUGUACUUGCAACAAUGUAUCCGUCGUUUUUCGAACUGAGUAACUGCUCAUUUAUAACAGUUAUUUCGAUGCCUGUAAAAAUACGUUAUGCGCGGUCAGAGGAUGGAGACGUAGCCGAAUGAAGGCAACGUGACCCUGAACCCACACGUUUCUUUCCUCCUUUCUCCUCCUAGUGGUCCUCGACAAGAGGUGGCUUCAGUUAUUCGUUCGUGUGUUCGGCUGUUUAAGAAAACGGCGUGUUAUGCACAAAACCAUUGCGCUUGCAAGUUUCUUGUUUUCUACUGAUCCGGACUACAGUCUUUGGUGCAUUUUCAUUCUCUCUGUUGCGCUGUGAAUCGCUGCCACCGCAAGCGGUUGACGCCAAGUCUUAUUUCAAGCAACAAGGCGCAGCAUACAAGAGGACCAGUAGUUGCAAUGUGGCCGGGCGCAUAUUUAAAUCCCACCACUCACAACGGUACCAUCCCGCCUCAUAGUGAGGAUCGAAGGAGAGUCGACUUGAAAGAAGGAUGCAGGACCUUGGACAGAAACACCAUGUUAUCUAGCCAGGAAAACAAGGAAACACACUAGAGAUUAAGGGGAAUCUGUGUGGACUUGGACUAUAGGAACGUUGGAAGAGGAGAGACAGAGUGAAAAAGAGGAGGACGAGGAGGAGAGUGGGUUGAAGGAACGGAAUGGAGGAAUGGAGCGGUGAACAGUGAACCAGGGAGCAGGAGAACCCAUCUGUGGAUGGCCAUGGGCUCUGGCUCCCCCCGUGGCCCUCUGCUCUGUGCCGGGGUCUCAGGGAGCUGACUGAGGCCAGCCAAGCAGCGGCGAAGUGGGCAGACGAGCCGAGGCAAGGCGGGCUCUCGUCCCCGCUGGCAACCUGCUCUUCGGCAGCACGGAGCAGCGAAUCAAUACGGAGGAGUGAGGCUAGCAGGGGUCGCCCAGAAACGCCUCUGGCUGUAGUGCCCAGGGACCCAGCGGUCCAGCCCUUUCCAAGUCUCACAACCAGCCAGGGCCCUAACCCUAACCACCCUGUGUAUGUUUGUGUGUGUGGGUGGGUGUGUGUUUGAGCAUGUCUGUGUGUGUGGUUCUGCCGGAGGGGCUUUCCUGACCCAUGACCGCUUGAUAAAACUUUGGCUGCUAGCAAGAGAGCGAAUGAGAGAGAAUGAAAAAACUAACGUCAAAGGUUUUUCUUCAAUUUUUUCCUCUGGUUACUCAUUCUUACCCAUCCCACCUGACUGUUUGAAUGAGAGUUCAGUGCAAAGGCCUCUUAUAUUUAAUUGAACAGGCCUCUCUUUCUUCACUUCCCUCCUAAGCAUGUACAACCACUGAGCACUCCACAUCUGAUGAACCAGGAUAAAAGGACAAUUAGAAAUUGUUUUCCUCUUGCAGAUUCAAAUCAGUCCUUUUUUUCAACUCCCAUUUUCUUACUCACGACUCCCGGUACUAUCAGACGAUAUGGGAGAUGUUAUUGAUCCAAACGGAGAAAGAAGAGGUGCUGGUUUUGAUGCAGGACCGUUCACUGUCUGUGGUGAUGAGACCAGAAAACCCCUUCACUGUACACUGAACAACACUCAGGAGUGAAUGAGUCCUAAUUGAGUGCAGAUGAAAAGGACAGUGGACAUAAAGUAUAGUGCCUGAAAUGUGACCCUCUCCACUGGUUCUGUUUCAUGUGACUUUCGCCUACAUAUUUAAAGAAUCCUCUUCACACAAGAACCACUAUCUUUAGAUACUGAAAAAAGGAUGAAAAGAUCCGGUGGAAGGAGAAUGACUAUGUGAGGGCUGAAUGGAAAGCCAGUUACACAUAAAGCAGAAUUAAAAUGUUUCAUUGGAGAAGAUAAUGAUUCUCAAUGCCGGCUGGGCUUAAGAGGACAAAGGGGACAUUGCUGUUUGGAGCCUGAAGCACCUUCCCAGAGAGAGACCUAGGAACAACACAACGCUGAUGAUUUCAAAUGAUGCGGAAGCUACUAUGGAGAUGCAGUGAAUGGAUGAUGAAUUAAGCAUCAUGUCCUUACUAGACCAGAACAAACCAGGUCAGAGAGAGAUGUAGUGAAAGAUGUAAUGCCUGUCUAUCAAUCAAAUUAAUUUUAUUAAGUAUUUUUUACAUCAGCAGUUGUCACAAAGUGCUUUUACAGAUAGCCAGCCUGAAGAGCAAGCAACAACAGAGUUGAUGCACAGUGACUAGGAAUAACUCUCUAGUAGGGUCAAGUAGAGAGAGUAGUAGAGAGGAACCAGAAUCUGAAGGGUGGCCAGUCCUCUUCUGGCUGUACCAGGUGAAGAUUAUAAGAGUACAUCACCGUUUUGGCCACAUCAAUGGUUUUGCAUGUACAGAUGACAAGCAAGUCAGUUUAUGCACGUCGGCUGUGUCCAGAAUCUUUGAACAGAAUCAAAGUCAGCGGCAUAACCAGUGAGAGCAGGAAUCAUUAGGCAGCAACUUGAUCUGCAACGCAAGCAGGAGGACUUUGGACAGGGACAAGCACAAGUCAUUCAGGCCAGGUAGUGCCCCACUUCCUGCUGAGGCUUAACUGAACACCAGGAGAGUUAGAGAGAGCAUUCCUUGGGUACAAAA